rnacentral:rRNA from 1 species
AAAUUGAAGAGUUUGAUCAUGGCUCAGAUUGAACGCUGGCGGCAGGCCUAACACAUGCAAGUCGAGCGGCAGCGGGGAGUAGUUUACUACUUUGCCGGCGAGCGGCGGACGGGUGAGUAAUGUCUGGGAAACUGCCUGAUGGAGGGGGAUAACUACUGGAAACGGUAGCUAAUACCGCAUAACGUCUUCGGACCAAAGUGGGGGACCUUCGGGCCUCACGCCAUCGGAUGUGCCCAGAUGGGAUUAGCUAGUAGGUGGGGUAAUGGCUCACCUAGGCGACGAUCCCUAGCUGGUCUGAGAGGAUGACCAGCCACACUGGAACUGAGACACGGUCCAGACUCCUACGGGAGGCAGCAGUGGGGAAUAUUGCACAAUGGGCGCAAGCCUGAUGCAGCCAUGCGGGGUGUGUGAAGAAGGCCUUCGGGUUGUAAAGCACUUUCAGCGAGGAGGAAGGCAUGAAGGUUAAUAACCUUUGUGAUUGACGUUACUCGCAGAAGAAGCACCGGCUAACUCCGUGCCAGCAGCCGCGGUAAUACGG